rnacentral:misc_RNA from 1 species
UACAGCAAUGUAUAUAUAUCUAACAAUUGGACAGCUCCUGGUGGCGCCUGUGGCGGGUCUUGUGCCACAGGGAUUCACGGUGCGGCAACUCCAAUCACACAGCCAAAUGCAUAUAUCUGGUGGAUCCGGGUCCCUGCAAGGAUUGGGUCAAGGUCUGGGGCUUUGACUAUCUGACAAAUCGCUGCAUAUUCU